rnacentral:rRNA from 1 species
AGUCGAACGGCAGCAUGGGGGCAACCCUGAUGGCGAGUGGCGAACGGGUGAGUAAUAUAUCGGAACGUACCCGAGAGUGGGGGACAACCAGUCGAAAGAUUGGCUAAUACCGCAUACGAUCUACGGAUGAAAGUGGGGGACCUUCGGGCCUCACGCUCCUGGAGCGGCCGAUAGCUGAUUAGCUAGUUGGUGGGGUAAAGGCCUACCAAGGCGAUGAUCAGUAGCUGGUCUGAGAGGACGAUCAGCCACACUGGGACUGAGACACGGCCCAGACUCCUACGGGAGGCAGCAGUGGGGAAUUUUGGACAAUGGGGGCAACCCUGAUCCAGCAAUGCCGCGUGAGUGAAGAAGGCCUUCGGGUUGUAAAGCUCUUUUGUCAGGGAAGAAAAGGGCCGGGUUAAUACCCUGGUUUCAUGACGGUACCUGAAGAAUAAGCACCGGCUAACUACGUGCCAGCAGCCGCGGUAAUACGUAGGGUGCGAGCGUUAAUCGGAAUUACUGGGCGUAAAGCGUGCGCAGGCGGUUGUGUAAGACAGAUGUGAAAUGCCCGGGCUUAACCUGGGAAUUGCAUUUGUGACUGCACGGCUAGAGUGUGUCAGAGGGGGGUAGAAUUCCACGUGUAGCAGUGAAAUGCGUAGAUAUGUGGAGGAAUACCGAUGGCGAAGGCAGCCCCC